UACGGAGGGGGCUAGCGUUGCUCGGAAUCACUGGUCGUAAAGCGCACGUAGGUGGCCUGUUAUGUCAGAUGUGAAAGCCCUCGGCUUAACUGAGGAAGUGCACCUGAAACUGGCAGGCUUGAGUACGAAAGAGGGUCGCGGAAUUCCCGGUGUAGAGGUGAAAUUCGCAGAUAUCAGGAGGAACACCGGUGGCGAAGGCGGAUCUCUGGGCCUGUCCUGACGCUCAGGCGCGAAAGCUAGGGGAGCAAACAGG
rnacentral:rRNA from 1 species